rnacentral:rRNA from 1 species
UUAAGCGACUAAGCGUACACGGUGGAUGCCCUGGCAGUCAGAGGCGAUGAAGGGCGUGCUAAUCUGCGAUAAGCGCCGGUAAGGUGAUAUGAACCGUUAUAACCGGCGAUACCCGAAUGGGGAAACCCAGUGUGACUCGUCACACUAUCAUUAACUGAAUCCAUAGGUUAAUGAGGCGAACCGGGGGAACUGAAACAUCUAAGUACCCCGAGGAAAAGAAAUCAACCGAGAUUCCCCCAGUAGCGGCGAGCGAACGGGGAGGAGCCCAGAGCCUGAAUCAGCAUGUGUGUUAGUGGAAGCGUCUGGAAAGGCGCGCGAUACAGGGUGACAGCCCCGUACACAAAAGCGCAUGUGCUGUGAGCUCGAUGAGUAGGGCGGGACACGUGGUAUCCUGUCUGAAUAUGGGGGGACCAUCCUCCAAGGCUAAAUACUCCUGACUGACCGAUAGUGAACCAGUACCGUGAGGGAAAGGCGAAAAGAACCCCGGCGAGGGGAGUGAAAAAGAACCUGAAACCGUGUACGUACAAGCAGUGGGAGCACAGGUUUACCUGUGUGACUGCGUACCUUUUGUAUAAUGGGUCAGCGACUUAUAUUCUGUAGCAAGGUUAACCGUAUAGGGGAGCCGUAGGGAAACCGAGUCUUAACCGGGCGUUAAGUUGCAGGGUAUAGACCCGAAACCCGGUGAUCUAGCCAUGGGCAGGUUGAAGGUUGGGUAACACUAACUGGAGGACCGAACCGACUAAUGUUGAAAAAUUAGCGGAUGACCUGUGGCUGGGGGUGAAAGGCCAAUCAAACCGGGAGAUAGCUGGUUCUCCCCGAAAGCUAUUUAGGUAGCGCCUCGUGAAUUCAUCUCCGGGGGUAGAGCACUGUUUCGGCUAGGGGGCCAUCCCGGCUUACCAACCCGAUGCAAACUGCGAAUACCGGAGAAUGUUAUCACGGGAGACACACGGCGGGUGCUAACGUCCGUCGUGAAGAGGGAAACAACCCAGACCGCCAGCUAAGGUCCCAAAGUCAUGGUUAAGUGGGAAACGAUGUGGGAAGGCCCAGACAGCCAGGAUGUUGGCUUAGAAGCAGCCAUCAUUUAAAGAAAGCGUAAUAGCUCACUGGUCGAGUCGGCCUGCGCGGAAGAUGUAACGGGGCUAAACCAUGCACCGAAGCUGCGGCAGCGACGCUGAUGCGUUGUUGGGUAGGGGAGCGUUCUGUAAGCCUGUGAAGGUGGCCUGUGAGGGUUGCUGGAGGUAUCAGAAGUGCGAAUGCUGACAUAAGUAACGAUAAAGCGGGUGAAAAGCCCGCUCGCCGGAAGACCAAGGGUUCCUGUCCAACGUUAAUCGGGGCAGGGUGAGUCGACCCCUAAGGCGAGGCCGAAAGGCGUAGUCGAUGGGAAACGGGUUAAUAUUCCCGUACUUGGUGUUACUGCGAAGGGGGGACGGAGAAGGCUAUGUUGGCCGGGCGACGGUUGUCCCGGUUUAAGCGUGUAGGUGUGUGUUCCAGGUAAAUCCGGUUCACUUUAACACUGAGGCGUGAUGACGAGGCACUACGGUGCUGAAGCAACAAAUGCCCUGCUUCCAGGAAAAGCCUCUAAGCAUCAGGUAACAUCAAAUCGUACCCCAAACCGACACAGGUGGUCAGGUAGAGAAUACCAAGGCGCUUGAGAGAACUCGGGUGAAGGAACUAGGCAAAAUGGUGCCGUAACUUCGGGAGAAGGCACGCUGACACGUAGGUGAAGUGAUUUACUCAUGGAGCUGAAGUCAGUCGAAGAUACCAGCUGGCUGCAACUGUUUAUUAAAAACACAGCACUGUGCAAACACGAAAGUGGACGUAUACGGUGUGACGCCUGCCCGGUGCCGGAAGGUUAAUUGAUGGGGUCAGCGCAAGCGAAGCUCCUGAUCGAAGCCCCGGUAAACGGCGGCCGUAACUAUAACGGUCCUAAGGUAGCGAAAUUCCUUGUCGGGUAAGUUCCGACCUGCACGAAUGGCGUAAUGAUGGCCAGGCUGUCUCCACCCGAGACUCAGUGAAAUUGAACUCGCUGUGAAGAUGCAGUGUACCCGCGGCAAGACGGAAAGACCCCGUGAACCUUUACUAUAGCUUGACACUGAACAUUGAGCCUUGAUGUGUAGGAUAGGUGGGAGGCUUUGAAGCGUGGACGCCAGUCUGCAUGGAGCCGGCCUUGAAAUACCACCCUUUAAUGUUUGAUGUUCUAACGUGGACCCGUGAUCCGGGUUGCGGACAGUGUCUGGUGGGUAGUUUGACUGGGGCGGUCUCCUCCUAAAGAGUAACGGAGGAGCACGAAGGUUGGCUAAUCCUGGUCGGACAUCAGGAGGUUAGUGCAAUGGCAUAAGCCAGCUUGACUGCGAGCGUGACGGCGCGAGCAGGUGCGAAAGCAGGUCAUAGUGAUCCGGUGGUUCUGAAUGGAAGGGCCAUCGCUCAACGGAUAAAAGGUACUCCGGGGAUAACAGGCUGAUACCGCCCAAGAGUUCAUAUCGACGGCGGUGUUUGGCACCUCGAUGUCGGCUCAUCACAUCCUGGGGCUGAAGUAGUCCCAAGGGGUAUGGCUGUUCGCCAUUUAAAGUGGUACGCGAGCUGGGUUUAGAACGUCGUGAGACAGUUCGGUCCCUAUCUGCCGUGGGCGCUGGAGAACUGAGGGGGGCUGCUCCUAGUACGAGAGGACCGGAGUGGACGCAUCACUGGUGUUCGGGUUGUCAUGCCAAUGGCACUGCCCGGUAGCUAAAUGCGGAAGAGAUAAGUGCUGAAAGCAUCUAAGCACGAAACUUGCCCCGAGAUGAGUUCUCCCUGAGACUUAGAGUCUCCUGAAGGAACGUUGAAGACGACGACGUUGAUAGGCCGGGUGUGUAAGCGCAGCGAUGCGUUGAGCUAACCGGUACUAAUGAACCGUGAGGCUUAACCUU